rnacentral:lncRNA from 1 species
AAUAUCUUAAAUCGAUUCAGUUUUAGGUAGAUAUCAUUACCUCUUUUGAACCUUACUUUUAUCACUAGUUCAAUCCAACUGCACCUCAUUCCUUCAUGGUAUGCCUCGUUAGUUUGUGUUGUAGAAUUGCUCUGUCUCUUCCACCAGCGCUCAGCAUCGGUAACACGGAAGUCAUCACUUUAUCAUGAAGUCACAUAUGCAUCUUCAGUACUUGCUUCUACUCCUUAUGCUCCCACUUUGCAGCUCCA